rnacentral:rRNA from 1 species
UGAGUACGAGAUGCUACGGCAUUGAAGCAGUCUAUGUCAUACUUCCAAGAAAAGCUUGCACUGUCAUAAACAAAGAAUGCCUGUACCAUAACCGACACAGGUGGGUAGGUAGAGUAUACUAAGGGGCGCGAGAUAACUCUCUCUAAGGAACUCGACAAAAUGACUCCGUAACUUCGGGAGAAGGAGUGCCUUAUUUUUAAGGUUGCAAUAACAAGAUCCAAGCAACUGUUUAUCAAAAACACAGGUCUCCGCUAAGUCGUAAGACGAUGUAUGGGGGCUGACGCCUGCCCAGUGCCAGAAGGUUAAAGAAGUUGGUUAGCAUUCGCGAAGCUGAUAACUGAAGCCCUGGUGAACGGCGGCCGUAACAAUAACGGUCCUAAGGUAGCGAAAUUCCUUGUCGGGUAAGUUCCGACCCGCACGAAAGGCGUAAUGAUUUGGAUACUGUCUCGGAGAGGGACUCGGUGAAAUAGACUUGUCUGUGAAGAUGCGGACUACCUGCACCUGGACAGAAAGACCCUAUGAAGCUUUACUGUAACUUGAAAUUGAAAUUGGACUUUAGUUGCGCAGGAUAGGUGGGAGGCGUUGAGAAUAUUCUUGCGGGAGCAUUGGAGCCAUCAGUGAGAUACCACUCUUCUAAUGUUAGAUUUCUAACUUUGUAUCAUUAUCUGGUCAAAGAACAGUUUCAGGCGGGCAGUUUGACUGGGGCGGUCGCCUCCUAAAGGGUAACGGAGGCGCACAAAGGUUUCCUCUGAACGAGUAGAAAUCGUAUCUAGAGUGUAAAGGCAUAAGGAAGCUUGACUGUGAGACCUACAAGUCGAGCAGGGACGAAAGUCGGUCUUAGUGAUCUGACGGUGCUGAGUGGAAAGGCCGUCACUCAACGGAUAAAAGUUACUCUAAGGAUAACAGGCUGAUCUCCCCCAAGAGUUCACAUCGACGGGGAGGUUUGGCACCUCGAUGUCGGCUCAUCGCAUCCUGGGGCGGUAGUACGUCCCAAGGGUUGGGCUGUUCGCCCAUGAAAGCGGUACGCGAGCUGGGUUCAGAACGUCGUGAGACAGUUCGGUCCAUAUCCGGUGUAGGCGUUAGAAUAUUGAGAGGAGCCUUCUCUAGUACGAGAGGACCGAGAAGGACAUACCUCUAGUGUACCAGUUAUCGUGCCAACGGUAAACGCUGGGUAGCUAUGUAUGGAGUGGAUAACCGCUGAAAGCAUCUAAGUGGGAAGCCCACCUCAAGAUAAG